rnacentral:rRNA from 1 species
CCUACGGGAGGCAGCAGUAGGGAAUCUUUCACAAUGGGCGAAAGCCUGAUGGAGCAACGCCGCGUGCAGGAUGAAGGCCUUCGGGUUGUAAACUGCUUUUAUAAGCGAGAAAUAUGAUGGUAACUUAUGAAUAAGGAUCGGCUAACUACGUGCCAGCAGCCGCGGUCAUACGUAGGAUCCGAUCAUUAUCCGGAGUGACUGGGUGUAAAGAGUUGCGUAGGUGGCAUAAUAAGUAGCUAGUGAAAUCUGGUGGCUCAACCAUUCAGACUAUUAGCUAAACUGUUAAGCUCGAGACCGUUAGGGGUAACUGGAAUUUCUAGUGUAGGAGUGAAAUCCGUAGAUAUUAGAAGGAACACCAAUAGCGUAGGCAGGUUGCUGGGACGGUUCUGACACUAAGGCACGAAAGCGUAGGGAGCAAACGGGAUUAGAUACCCGAGUAGUC